UUUCCGUUGGUGAACCUGCGGAAGGAUCAUUAUUGUAUAACCGAGGUGCGAGGGCUGUCGCUGACCCGAAAGGUCGUGCACGCCCGAGUGCCCUCACACACAUCCAUCUCACCCCUAUGUGCACCACCGCGUGGGUCCCCCUUUGGCUUGUUCGGAGGGGGGCUUACGUCUUCACACAAACUUUGUAUGCAGUGUAGAAUGUAUUUUUUGUUUUUGCGAUCACGCAAUCAAUACAACUUUCAACAACGGAUCUCUUGGCUCUC
rnacentral:misc_RNA from 1 species